GAUGAAGAACGCAGCGAAAUGCGAUACGUAAUGUGAAUUGCAGAAUUCAGUGAAUCAUCGAAUCUUUGAACGCACCUUGCACCCUUUGGCAUUCCGAAGGGUAUGCUCGUUUGAGUGUCAUUGUACUCUCACACUCUCCGAUCCUAUGGAUUCGGGGAGCGGUGGACUUGGGUGUUGCUGCCUUUCCCUGUGGCUCACCUCAAAUGCGUCAGUGCACCUCUUGGUUGGACAUAGUACGGCGUGAUAAGUGUCUUCGCCGGCACCUCGCAAGAGGGUGGCCGAUCGGGAGCUCUGCGCUUUCAAACCGUCUUCGGACAAUUUCUGACAUCUUGACCUCAAAUCGAGUAGGACUACCCGCUGAACUUAAGCAUAUCAUAAGCGGAGGA
rnacentral:misc_RNA from 1 species